CGGAUUGUAGUCUGCAACUCGACUACAUGAAGCUGGAAUCGCUAGUAAUCGCGAAUCAGCAUGUCGCGGUGAAUACGUUCCCGGGUCUUGUACACACCGCCCGUCACACCAUGGGAGUCAGUAACGCCCGAAGCCGGUGACCCAACCGAGUCCGGAGGGAGCCGUCGAAGGUGGGACCGAUAACUGGGGUGAAGUCGUAACAAGGUACC
rnacentral:rRNA from 1 species